rnacentral:rRNA from 1 species
GACGAACGCUGGCGGCGUGCUUAACACAUGCAAGUCGAACGAAGAGCGAUGGAAGCUUGCUUCUAUUAAUCUUAGUGGCGAACGGGUGAGUAACGCGUAAUCAACCUGCCCUUCAGAGGGGGACAACAGUUGGAAACGACUGCUAAUGCCGCAUACGAUCUGACCUCGGCAUCGAGGAUAGAUGAAAGGUGGCCUCUAUUUAUAAGCUAUCACUGAAGGAGGGGAUUGCGUCUGAUUAGCUAGUUGGAGGGGUAACGGCCCACCAAGGCGAUGAUCAGUAGCCGGUCUGAGAGGAUGAACGGCCACAUUGGGACUGAGACACGGCCCAGACUCCUACGGGAGGCAGCAGUGGGGAAUCUUCCGCAAUGGACGAAAGUCUGACGGAGCAACGCCGCGUGAGUGAUGACGGCCUUCGGGUUGUAAAGCUCUGUUAAUCGGGACGAAAGGCCUUCUUGCGAAUAGUUAGAAGGAUUGACGGUACCGGAAUAGAAAGCCACGGCUAACUACGUG